UACGGGGGGAGCAAGCGUUGUUCGGAUUUACUGGGCGUAAAGGGCGCGUAGGCGGCCUCUGCAAGUCGACUGUGAAAUCUCCGGGCUUAACCCGGAAAGGUCAGCCGAUACUGCAGGGCUAGAGUGCAGAAGGGGCAACUGGAAUUCUCGGUGUAGCGGUGAAAUGCGUAGAUAUCGAGAGGAACACCUGCGGCGAAGGCGGCUUCCUGGACCAGAACUGACGAUCAGGCACGAAAGCGUGGGGAGCAAACAGG
rnacentral:rRNA from 1 species